GUGUCAGCCGCCGCGGUAAUACGAAAGGGGCUAGCGUUGUUCGGAAUUACUGGGCGUAAAGCGCGCGUAGGCGGCCUUGCAAGUUGGGGGUGAAAUCCCGGAGCUCAACUCCGGAACUGCCUUCAAAACUGCAAAGCUAGAGGAUGCGAGAGGUGAGCGGAAUUCCGAGUGUAGAGGUGAAAUUCGUAGAUAUUCGGAAGAACACCAGUGGCGAAGGCGGCUCACUGGCGCAUUUCUGACGCUGAGGCGCGAAAGCGUGGGGAGCAAACAGGAUUAGAUACCCUGGUAGUCCACGCCGUAAACGAUGAGGGCUAGUCGUCGGCAAGCAUGCUUGUCGGUGACACACCUAACGGAUUAAGCAUUCCGCCUGGGGAGUACGGCCGCAAGGUUAAAACUUAAAUGAAUUGACGGGG
rnacentral:rRNA from 1 species